CGGCCCACGGAGCUCCUAAAGA
rnacentral:miRNA from 1 species